UACAGAGGGUGCAAGCGUUAAUCGGAAUUACUGGGCGUAAAGCGCGCGUAGGCGGUUGUGUAAGUUGGAUGUGAAAUCCCCGGGCUUAACCUGGGAACUGCAUUCAAAACUGCACGGCUAGAGUACGGGAGAGGGGGGUAGAAUUCCAGGUGUAGCGGUGAAAUGCGUAGAGAUCUGGAGGAAUACCGAUGGCGAAGGCAGCCCCCUGGCCUGAUACUGACGCUGAGGUGCGAAAGCAUGGGGAGCAAACAGG
rnacentral:rRNA from 1 species